rnacentral:rRNA from 1 species
GACGAACGCUGGCGGCGUGCUUAACACAUGCAAGUCGAACGGUGAAGGGGUCUGCUUUUGUGGGCCCUGGAUGAGUGGCGAACGGGUGAGUAACACGUGAGUAACCUGCCCCCUUCUUCUGGAUAACCGCAUGAAAGUGUGGCUAAUACGGGAUAUUCUGGGUCUGUCGCAUGAUGGGUCUGGGAAAGAUUGCGCCUUUGGGUGUUUUUGGUGGGGGAUGGGCUCGCGGCCUAUCAGCUUGUUGGUGGGGUGAUGGCCUACCAAGGCGGUGAGGGGUAGCCGGCCUGAGAGGGUGGACGGUCACACUGGGACUGAGACACGGCCCAGACUCCUACGGGAGGCAGCAGUGGGGAAUAUUGCACAAUGGGCGCAAGCCUGAUGCAGCGACGCCGCGUGAGGGAUGGAGGCCUUCGGGUUGUAAACCUCUUUCGCCAGUGAAGCAGGCCUGCUCCUUGUGGGUGGGUUGACGGUAGCUGGAUAAGAAGCGCCGGCUAACUACGUG